UAGCAUAUCAAUAAGCGGAGGRAAAGAAACUAACUGGGAUUCCCCUAGUAACUGCGAGUGAAGCGGGAAAAGCUCAWAUUUAAAAUCUGGCGGUCUCUGGCCGUCCGAGUUGUAAUCUAGAGAAGUGCUGCCCGCGCUGGACCGUGUACAAGUCUCCUGGAAUGGAGCGUCAUAGAGGGUGAGAAUCCCGUCUCUGACACGGACUACCAGGGCUUUGUGGUACGCUCUCAAAGAGUCGAGUUGUUUGGGAAUGCAGCUCAAAAUGGGUGGUAAAUUCCAUCUAAAGCUAAAUAUUGGCGAGAGACCGAUAGCGAACAAGUACCGUGAGGGAAAGAUGAAAAGAACUUUGGAAAGAGAGUUAAACAGUACGUGAAAUUGCUGAAAGGGAAACGCUUGAAGUCAGUCGCGUUGGCCGGGGAUCAGCCUCGCUUUUUUGCGUGGUGUACUUUCUGGUUGACGGGUCAGCAUCAAUUUUGACCGCUGGAAAAAGGCUUGGGGAAUGUGGCAGCUUCGGCUGUGUUAUAGCCCUUUGUCACAUACAGCGGUUGGGAUUGAGGAACUCAGCACGCCGCAAGGCCGGGUUUCGACCACGUUCGUGCUUAGGAUGCUGGCAUAAUGGCUUUAAGCGACCCGUCUUGAAACACGGACCAAGGAGUCUAACAUGCCUGCGAGUGUUUGGGUGGAAAACCCGAGCGCGUAAUGAAAGUGAAAGUUGAGAUCCCUGUCGUGGGGAGCAUCGACGCCCGGACCAGAACUUUUGGGACGGAUCCGCGGUAGAGCAUGUAUGUUGGGACCCGAAAGAUGGUGAACUAUGCCUGAAUAGGGUGAAGCCAGAGGAAACUCUGGUGGAGGCUCGUAGCGAUUCUGACGUGCAAAUCGAUCGUCAAAUUUGGGUAUAGCGGCGAAAGACUAAUCGAACCAUCUAGUAGCUGGU
rnacentral:rRNA from 1 species